CAACUAAAUAUUCGAGACUUAUUUGAUAACUUUCAGUUAAUUUUCUCAACUUUCCUCUUUCAAUUAACUAUUCGAGACUUAUUUGAAACCUUUCACUUAAUUUUCUCAACUUUCCUCUUUCAAUUAACGAUUUCUUUCAUUGAAGAACUUGCUUCCAUGGUGAAGAGAGCUGAAGAACAAAAGAUUUUCUUCUCCGAUACCAAUUUGUGAGAAAAAGACGUUGAAGAGUUGAAGUCGUCGAAGAACUAGCUAGAGAUUUGAAGAGUCGAAGUCAUCGAAGAAUUGAUCGGUGACCUUGUUUUCUGCGACAACGAUUUCUUCAAAAGUAAGUACGAUUUUCUUUUUCGAUACCUAUUUCGCCAAGCGUAAGUACUAAAACAGUCUUCUUGUUAGCUGAACUGGUUGAUUUUUUGUGCGUUUUUAGAAGGAAUCGAUCAUGUUGGGGUUAUUGGCAAGACUCAACUGAAGCUAGUUAGUCUCUCUGUCACGCUUUUCUCUCGAAUUUCUCACCAAAGAACACGAUUUUACACAGAUUUUGUUGGAACAGGGUUUGUAAAGUUAGAAAUUCUAUCUUUGAAAGUCUAAAUUUUAGCUUUAGGGUUUUGAUAUUCUUCUGUUUUUAUACGGGUUUUGGGAGUGUAGCUAGAAUUUUAGCUUCAUCAGUUGAUUUUUGGGAGUGUAGCUCUUACUUUAGCCUCCCUAUGGAGGCCUCCCUUCUUGUCAUUGUUAGGGGAUGGAAAAAAGUUGGGAUUUAUAUGAGUAAAAACAUUUAGAAUAGCUUAAGAGAAUAGUUAAAAUAUAUAUAUAGAAACACAUUCAAGGAAGGGAGAGUUAAGUGUCGAUAAGAGUAUCACAUUUUCUAAUUCGGUUUGCAUCACUUUUCCCAAGCUUUGUUCGAGUACAAAAUUCUGCCCAGAAUUCUCUUCCUUCGUUCGUGUUCGAGUCUCGUGGUGAAGAUCUUUCCCUGCUCGUCCCAUUCCCUUUCACUACCGGAAGAAAGGUAAUGUGGUUUUCCUCAUAGUAAUCUUUUUGCCUCUUCUUCUAUUUUAAGAGUGAUAUUGUGACGGUAUGAAAGUUGUUCUGAUGAGUUUGUAUCUUUUUAUUUGAUUUAUCUUUGAGUUGAUGUUGAUUCAAUAUGAGAUAUGUGUUUCUUAGUUGCUUUCACGGGUCUGUUGAAUGAUUGUUGCAGGUAUAGAUAUGGCUGUAAGGAACAAUUCAAGUAUUUACAAAAGAGCAUCCGAAAAAAGAGGAAUGAGUCUUCCAGGAGUUCCAACAAUAAAAGAGGGAUAUAAAGCGGCUACUUGGAUGUUGGAUAUCACCACUCCAGCAGUUGAGGGUCGACUAAAUGUGGACUUUGGAGAGGUUUACGUGAACCCAGAUCUAUAUUAGUAAUAAGAAGAUAACAUAGUCAUUUUCAUUUUAGUUUCAGUAUUGUGUUACUAACUAGCUCAAUGUCGUUUACAACUAAAAUUUUCACAGGGGGAAUCAAGAACUAACCAAACAACUAAGUGUUCCAGUACCAGGAUCCCAUGAACUACGUUUUACUACGAAAUAUUCUCAAUCGUUUGUUGAUUAGUGAAAAGCUUGCUUUUGGGAACUCCAAUUAUCUUAUUGGAGGUAUCCACAAUAUAAUACCGUAAGGUUUUUCAUGACAGCAACUAUAGGGAUCAUGUUUGGAAUUAUUUUCUGGGAUAAGGGGAACAAAAUGCGAGUCAUCGUCUGACUCCUUCUGUUUAAAUGGACGAAUCAGUCAAUUAGGCCUCAUUUCAUGAAUUUCCUUGCCCGUUUAACUUGAUGAGAUAAUGUAAACAGGUAAAAACUGCAAGACCUAUUGAAUGAACAGGGAGCUAUGUUGCUGUUAUAUUCCUUUUAAGUACCAAAAAUAAUUGUGGUUGAACUGGCAAAGCUUAGGCUUCAGUUGGUGUAUUCUCACAGCAAAGAAAAUGUGAGCCCAAAUAAGCCAAAAAAUGACUCCAAUAUUACCUGGUAAUGCUGGCAAAUCUUAAUUUAACAAUAAUGUAUGUUGGUAAUGUUGAAGUUUCCUCUUUUCUGGUAGUACUUGUUUAGAUUUGCUAUGGGAGUCAUUUGUGACGUAUUAGGUCCUAGAUAUGGCUGCACGUUUUCACAUAUUGUAAUCAGCCCCUGAUGUUUAUUUUAUGUUGCUACUGACUUUCUCCUCUAUGAGCAGUAGAUAUGCUUUGGAUAUGACUUAUUCUACACACUUAAUUGCAGUACGGUGUUCAAGAACAUUUUGAGAAAUAACAAUUUGAGUGUAGCUUCAGAGUUUCUUCUCCAUCCCACUAUUUUUACAUGGAAGAAAUAAUCUUUAUCUGUUUGUCUGUACUUUUGUGUAGUUUUGAGGAACGAUUUCUAUUAUUUUUCAUAAAAAUGUUAUAGCCGUACAAAGUAACCAUGAGAGAUCGUGAAAUGCAAGCUUUGUUAUGAAAACUGAAACCAAACUUUUGGGAGGAUCCCUAGUGUUUCCACUUUCUAUUUCUUUCUUGGGACAAUGAAGACAUUCUCUGGCGAAAUCCUCUUACUUUUCUUUUAUAGCAUCUCUUGGUUCAUUUCCUUCUGUCGGCUAAUGAUUUUUGUUGUUGUGAAAAGUUGCAGCAGAUUUGGUGCUCUUUACAGGCAUGUCUUCUAAUUAUCUCACAUCUAUUUAUCCACAAUGCAUACUACAUAGUUAUCGUAUUCUUUCAACUACUAUUUUUCAUUCAUUAGCCAGGUUAGAUUGGAAGAAUUAUCAGUUCACUUCAUUUUGUCCUUGCUUCAGGGGAUUUUGGGAAUGAAAAUGUGGAUUGCAGAUCUAGAGAUCACCAAAGCUGUUAUUCUAGGGAACCAUGACGCAUGGAAUACUCAAAAGUUCUUUGGGAAGUGAGUCCAAGUUCCAUUUUAUCAGACUGCUUAGAGGGAAAAAUCACUUCCUCAUUCUUUUUCCAUCAUUUGUUGGAAUUCAAACUUUGGUAGAUAGGGUGGUCGGAUAAGUGUUGUGGUUUCAUGAAGGUUGUUGAUAAUGGCAAAUGGGGUGACAACUGUAGUAGUGUUUGAGUAGGAUUAAUGAGCAUUGAUUUUGGUGGUAGAUUCCGUGGGAAAUCAUUGAUAAAUUUAAAGGAUGUUUUCCUUGAAACAUAAUGACCUCAGAAUCUUCUAGCAUUAACUGUGAACAACAUUACUGACUUGAAAAUAUGAAGUAUCAAUAAUGGAUGAAACAUAUUGUCAGGCUCAUUUUUUCCUGUCCACUUAGUUGACAUGAGCAUACCUAUCUUCCCUUCCCGGUGCUCAUUACUCAGCUAUACAAGAUACCUGGAGUUCCCUUUAGAGGGAAAAAUAAUUUCAAGAUUACUCUAGUCUCCUACAAUGAAAUUCAGAGGAUGAAGACUCGGUAUUUGAGAGAUGAUGCUGCUCGAAGAAAUCCGCCACUAGCAGAUUCCACUCUAGUGGUCGACCCUGCUACCCUAGAAAGUGAGACCAACGCACCUUCUCCUUCUAUAGAGAAGGUAGGUUUUUCCAGACCUUCCUUUAUUAUUCGGUCUUCUAUUGAUACAUAUGUACAACCUGCUAUUGCUUUAACUAGAAUUUUUAUUCCUCCCCCUUCUCAUGUAUAUCGUCCCUCAUUCACUCGGGCUUUGAUAUAUAAGAUAGAUAGCCUUGCCUAGUCAGAUUAUGUGAGAGCUACGCGGAUUUAGAGGGACGUGCCUCUACUCAUUGAGAAGGACUUGACACAUGUGAUUAAGAGAGUGAGAAAGUGUGAGGGGACAGUACCAAGCCAUACUUUGAAGCAUAAUGAUCAAAAUGCAACGGUUGAGGAUUAGAAGAAGGUUUGGAUAGUUCUAGUGAUGUGGAUACUUUGAGGGCAGAGUUGGUACAUAUAAAAUUUGUGGACAUAUCUAUAGGUUGGGGUGAGGUUCCUUUCAAAAGCGCUUGAUGUCCUAAUUCAAUACUUUUGCUUAUGUGCCUGAGGUUUUGUUGAUGUAGAGGUUGUUGAUAAUGCGAGUGAGAGGGACGAGGACGAGUUGGGGAAUUAAACUUAUGAGGAGAAGUUGAGAGAUGAGGAAAACGGGUUUGCUGACACACUGACAAAGAUUCAUGAUAUUGAGGUCAUUCUUCGGGUUGCGCUGGAAGGUUCUUCGACAGACUUUAGAGGUCGCAUGUAAUUGAUUCAAUCUCGACUCCACCAUAACUCAUGUAUCUCACAUCGGCACUAAUGAUGAACUGUACCUCUUAUGUUUCCUCCUGUGAUCCUAUUGCCAUGAAUUGAUGCUACUCUUGAGGCUUCUCAACUUGAGACUCUACAUAAGAGUGUUGUUCAUGCAUACCUUAUCAACGAGACCUAUUUUAUUAUCCUUCUAUUAAAUUUAUUUUAUUUUUUAGUGACACUACAUUUUGUUUUUGGUGGCGGUGAGGGAUUUCAUGCCAAUAUUCCCUUUUGUCUAGUAUUUUGUUAUUUUUAAUUAUUAAAAAUUAUAGUUUGUUGAUUCUUGA